GAUUUUAAUUCCUCUUAUGUAAAGUACAAAAUAUUCUGUUUAAUCUCUUUCCCUCCUUCCCUCUUUUCAGGACUAUAAAUCUGACGGUAUGACUUUGGCUUCCAGUGCCAGGAACAGUCCUCAAGGUCCAGAGAGCUGUAUCCUCCAUUUAAAAAUGGACUUGUGUGAGUUAAAGGAACUAAAUGACCGGAUCCUGCAAACUCUUGCCCAUGUGAUGGAAAUGAAUGGAAUUAUUCAUGUCAAUAAGCACUACUUACCUGAGCACAUGUUUAUAAGAUCUGUAUAAACAAGGAAGGAUAGAUAAUUAUCAGCUUUCAUGCUUCAGGGCAGAUGCUGAUAUAGCAGACUGGAUCAGGAAGAAAUUUGUCCCAAUAACAUAGUAUGGAAAGAGAAGAUUCACUGUGAGGGUUCAUACUUUCAUCAGAAAUAUUUGGUAUUGACUAUCGUUAGAUAUGUGAUACUGCUGUAUAUGGAUCACUGGGUUGAUUUAUUAGGAUGGUACUGAUGUUUUUACUUGCUCCUCAAGUGCUGUACUAUGUGCAUUGCCUUCUGAAAUAUUUAGAGGUCUUAUUCUGAGCAUUAUAUCCUGAGUGCCAACUAAAAAGAUGCUAGACACCUUGUAUGUUACAUAAUAAUACUAUUAACUGUGCAAAGUGUUGGACAUAUCCCUGCAAACACUUAUUACUAUGAAUAGUCUCAUUGAAUUCAAUGAGAUUAUUCUCACGAGAAAGUUACUCUCACACACAAGUUUUUGCAGAACUAGGCGAAUGUUUGCAUAACUUUGUAUUUCCCUGAAAGAGAAUGAAUAGCUCAAAAAGUGAUACCAAAUGUGAAGUCUUUCACCUAUAGGUUUUCGUUUCAAGCACGAUCUAGGUUGGAUAAGGAUCAAAAGAUAAUUACCACAUAGCUAUUAACCAGAUUAUGUGAAAUGAGUCCAUGAACUCAGUCCAUUUUCCAGUGGACAGAUAUCCACAUUACAAAAAGCCAGCACCUCAUCUGGAAUUAAUUGGCACCCUUCUUUCCAGUUUCAUCAGAAGCCAAAGACUGAAUGAGCAUGGAGACUGAACUAUCUCCCUGUUAG
rnacentral:lncRNA from 1 species